rnacentral:rRNA from 1 species
AGUGAACGCUGGCGGUAGGCCUAACACAUGCAAGUCGAACGAGUGGCGGACGGGUGAGGAAUACAUCGGAAUCUACUCUGUCGUGGGGAUAACGUAGGGAAACUUACGCUAAUCCCGCAUACGGUUGAAUGAGCCGAUGUCGGAUUUGCUUAUUGGCGGGGUAAAGGCCCACCAAGGCGACGAUCCGUAGCUGGUCUGAGAGGAUGAUCAGCCACACUGGAACUGAGACACGGUCCAGAGUCCUACGGGAGGAAGCAGUGGGGAAGAUUGGACAAUGGGCGCAAGCCUGAGCCAGCCAUACCGCGUGGGUGAAGAAGGCCUUCGGGUUGUAAAGUACUUUCAGCGGGGAGGCGUUACCCGCAGAAGAAGCACCGGCUAACUCCGUGCCAGCCGCCGCGGUAAUUC